UACGAAGGGGGCGAGCGUUGUUCGGAAUUACUGGGCGUAAAGGGCGCGCAGGCGGCUCUGAAAGUCAGAUGUGAAAGCCCCGGGCUUAACCUGGGAAUUGCAUUUGAUACUCUGGAGCUUGAGUACGGGAGAGGAGAGUGGAAUUCCCAGUGUAGAGGUGAAAUACGUAGAGAUUGGGAAGAACACCAGUGGCGAAGGCGGCUAUCUGGACGGUUUCUGACGCUAAGACGCGAAAGCGUGGGGAGCAAACAGG
rnacentral:rRNA from 1 species